rnacentral:tRNA from 1 species
UCCAUUUGGUGUCUUAGCACGGGAAAAUUUGGGUUUCCAAGAAAAAGUAAUGGGAG